GAUGAACGCUGGCGGCGUGCCUAAUACAUGCAAGUCGAGCGACCAGACGAGGAGCUUGCUCCUCUGCCGUUAGCGGCGGACGGGUGAGUAACACGUGGAUAACCUACCUAUAAGACUGGGAUAACUUCGGGAAACCGGAGCUAAUACCGGAUAAUAUAUUGAACUGCAUGGUUCAAUAGUGAAAGACGGUUUUGCUGUCACUUAUAGAUGGAUCCGCGCCGCAUUAGAUAGUUGGUAAGGUAACGCCUUACCAAGGCAACGAUGCGUAGCCGACCUGAGAGGGUGAUCAGCCACACUGGAACUGAGACACGGUCCAGACUCCAACGGGAGGCAGCAGUGGGGAAUCUUCUGUUAGGGGCGAAAGCCUGACGGAGCAACGCCGCGUGAGUGAUGAAGGGCUUCGGAUCGUAAAGCUCUGUUACUAGGGAAGAACAAAAGUGUGAGUAACUAGUCACGUCUUGACGGUACCUAAUCAGAAAGCCACGGCUAACUACGUG
rnacentral:rRNA from 1 species